rnacentral:rRNA from 1 species
GACGAACGCUGGCGGCGUGCCUAAUACAUGCAAGUAGAGCGCUGAAGGAGGAGCUUGCUUCUCUGGAUGAGUUGCGAACGGGUGAGUAACGCGUAGGUAACCUGCCUGGUAGCGGGGGAUAACUAUUGGAAACGAUAGCUAAUACCGCAUAACAGUAGAUAUCGCAUGAUAUCUACUUGAAAGGUGCAAUUGCAUCACUACCAGAUGGACCUGCGUUGUAUUAGCUAGUUGGUGAGGUAACGGCUCACCAAGGCGACGAUACAUAGCCGACCUGAGAGGGUGAUCGGCCACACUGGGACUGAGACACGGCCCAGACUCCUACGGGAGGCAGCAGUAGGGAAUCUUCGGCAAUGGACGGAAGUCUGACCGAGCAACGCCGCGUGAGUGAAGAAGGUUGUCGGAUCGUAAAGCUCUGUUGUAAGAGAAGAACGAGUGUGAGAGUGGAAAGUUCACACUGUGACGGUAUCUUACCAGAAAGGGACGGCUAACUACGUG